UACGUAGGGGGCAAGCGUUGUCCGGAUUUAUUGGGCGUAAAGAGCGUGUAGGCGGCCAGGUAGGUCCGUUGUGAAAACUCGAGGCUCAACCUCGAGACGCCGAUGGAAACCAUCUGGCUAGAGUCCGGAAGAGGAGAGUGGAAUUCCCGGUGUAGCGGUGAAAUGCGCAGAUAUCGGGAGGAACACCAGUAGCGAAGGCGGCUCGCUGGGCCGUUCCUGACGCUGAGACGCGAAAGCUAGGGGAGCGAACAGG
rnacentral:rRNA from 1 species